CGUAAUCCUCAGACUGGACAUCAGGAACAGGAUCAAGAUACUCUCCGUAGAUCGAUCCGUAGGCAGGAUCCGAACGUACGGGCAACUGAGCAGCAGAUCGACACACAGAGUAGGAGACAAACACGUACAAACGGUGAGAUUCGGGAGACGGAAAGGGUGGCAGACAGACUUCGUAGAUCGAACCGAAGACUGAAUACGAACGUACGGGCAACUGAGCAGCAGAACAACACAGAGAGUAGGAGACACAGACGUACAAACGCUGGGAUUCGGGAGACGGAAAGGGUGGCAGACAGACUUCGUAGAUCGAACCACAGACUGAAUACGAACGUACGGGCAACUGAGCAGCAGAAUGAUACACAUAGUAGGAGGCAGAGACGUACAGACGCUGAGAUUCGGGAGACGGAAAGGGUGGCCGAUAGACGACGUAGAUCGAACCGAAGACGGGAUACGAACGUACGGGCAACAGAGCAGCAGAA